GACGAACGCUGGCGGCGUGCUUAACACAUGCAAGUCGCACGAAGUGGCGAACGGGUGAGUAACGCGUAAUCAACCUGCCCUUCAGAGGGGGACAACAGUUGGAAACGACUGCUAAUACCGCAUACUUACGGAGGGGAUUGCGUCUGAUUGGCUAGGUGGAGGGGUAACGGCCCCCCAAGGCGAUGAUCAGUAGCCGGUCUGAGAGGAGGAACGGCCACAUGGGGACUGGGACACGGCACAGACUCCGAAGGGAGGCAGCAGGGGGGAAUCUUCCGCAAUGGACGAAAGUCUGACGGAGCAACGCCGCGUGAGUGAUGACGGCCUUCGGGUUGUAAAGCUCUGUUAAUCGGGACGCGGUACCGGAAUAGAAAGCCACGGCUAACUACGUGCCAGCAGCCGCGGUAAUUC
rnacentral:rRNA from 1 species